rnacentral:rRNA from 1 species
UACGUAGGGUGCGAGCGUUAAUCGGAAUUACUGGGCGUAAAGCGUGCGCAGGCGGUUCGUUGUGUCGGUGGUGAAAGCCCCGGGCUUAACCUGGGAAUGGCCGUCGAAACUGGCGAACUGGAGUGUGGCAGAGGGGGGUGGAAUUCCGCGUGUAGCAGUGAAAUGCGUAGAGAUGCGGAGGAACACCGAUGGCGAAGGCAGCCCCCUGGGCUAACACUGACGCUGAGGCACGAAAGCGUGGGGAGCAAACAGG